GUGUUUGUUUCAGCAGCACAUACACUAAAACUGGAAUGAUACAGAGAAGACCAGCACAACCCCUGUGCAAGGAUGACAUGCAAAGUAGUGAAGCAUGCCAUAUUUUU